GAUGUAGGUAUAACGCUGCAGGAAAAGCCAUAGGCGAGUCAGAGUUAAUUCUAUUUAAACGCUGUGGGUGUCUGCAGAGUGAGAACAUGUUUAUAACUUCGGUUAACCUCCGUUUGAGGAUUAUUGCAAUUUGCAGAAGUGACCGAGGAGAUGGACAGAAUACUCAUUGGACAGAGACCAGGAGCACUCCCAUCCUGUGAGCCAUCCCUUGGACAUUCUCCACCUGUACCUUCACCAUGCUUCAGGGCCAUUUCCAUGGACUUAUGCUGUCAAGCGUGCAAAAGAUGCACUGACCCAGGAAUAAUUGAGGAGGGCCACAGUUGGAGCAUCAGAGCCAGCAGAAAAGGCCCCUUGUGUGGAAGCAGCUUAGCACCUAGCAGAAGCACAAAAAGCAAGAGCAGCUUUAUAAAAGCAUUUGGAUCCUGGUGCAGCAAGCAGCUCAAGCACUCUUGUCCAAGUGCAAGCAUAUUUGAUAGAGCAAACAGUUCUUGCUCAGACAACCCAUUCCAGAACUGGGGAGUCAACAGACUUUGGUUUCCUGGCCUUGUAGCCACUGCUUCAAAAUUCCUCUGUGCCCCCUGCACUACUGUAGCAAGCAAGAGAUUGUUGAUGUUGAUGAAAAGAGGAACAGACUUACAGCAGAGAGAGCAGAAAUGCUUGUUUUUAUGAGAAAGAACUAGAGAUGUUCCGAUACCGGUAUUGGAAACAAUGGGUGACCUGUGUCACCUCCUACUGGGUAGAAGACAAAAGGGCUGUGUGGCUCUUCCUUUCUCUUGUUUGUUUGACUUGUGUCUUAAUUAAUUUUCAGUUUUUUCUGCUAUAUAUUUUUUAUUGGAAUAAAAAUUCCAAUUUGAAAUGUUUUUUGUUAUUUGGAAUGUGGUGUCA